rnacentral:rRNA from 1 species
UGGGGAAUUUUGGACAAUGGGGGAAACCCUGAUCCAGCCAUCCCGCGUGUGCGAUGAAGGCCUUCGGGUUGUAAAGCACUUUUGGCAGGAAAGAAACGUCAUGGGUUAAUACCCCGUGAAACUGACGGUACCUGCAGAAUAAGCACCGGCUAACUACGUGCCAGCAGCCGCGGUAAUACGUAGGGUGCAAGCGUUAAUCGGAAUUACUGGGCGUAAAGCGUGCGCAGGCGGUUCGGAAAGAAAGAUGUGAAUCCCAGAGCUCAACUUUGGAACUGCAUUUUUAACUACCGGGCUAGAGUGUGUCAGAGGGAGGUGGAAUUCCGCGUGUAGCAGUGAAAUGCGUAGAUAUGCGGAGGAACACCGAUGGCGAAGGCAGCCUCCUGGGAUAACACUGACGCUCAUGCACGAAAGCGUGGGGAGCAAACAGG